UAUUGGACAAUGGGGGAAACCCUGAUCCAGCAAUGCCGCGUGAGCGAUGAAGGCCUUAGGGUUGUAAAGCUCUUUUACCCGAGAUGAUAAUGACAGUAUCGGGAGAAUAAGCCCCGGCUAACUCCGUGCCAGCAGCCGCGGUAAUACGGAGGGGGCUAGCGUUGUUCGGAAUUACUGGGCGUAAAGCGCACGUAGGCGGCGAUUUAAGUCAGGGGUGAAAGCCCGGAGCUCAACUCCGGAACUGCCCUUGAGACUGGAUUGCUAGAAUCUUGGAGAGGCGGGUGGAAUUCCGAGUGUAGAGGUGAAAUUCGUAGAUAUUCGGAAGAACACCAGUGGCGAAGGCGGCCCGCUGGACAAGUAUUGACGCUGAGGUGCGAAAGCGUGGGGAGCAAACAGG
rnacentral:rRNA from 1 species